rnacentral:rRNA from 1 species
GCUCAGGAUGAACGCUAGCUACAGGCUUAACACAUGCAAGUCGAGGGGUAGCAGGGUAGCAAUACCGCUGACGACCGGCGCACGGGUGAGUAACACGUAUCCAACCUUCCUAUUACUCGGGGAUAGCCUUUCGAAAGAAAGAUUAAUACCCGAUAGUACUUAAUUAUGGCAUCAUGAUUAAGUUAAAGAUUUAUUGGUAAUGGAUGGGGAUGCGUUCCAUUAGAUUGUUGGUGAGGUAACGGCUCACCAAGUCUUCGAUGGAUAGGGGUUCUGAGAGGAAGGUCCCCCACAUUGGUACUGAGACACGGACCAAACUCCUACGGGAGGCAGCAGUGAGGAAUAUUGGUCAAUGGGCGAGAGCCUGAACCAGCC